rnacentral:misc_RNA from 1 species
CCAGGGGCCGCGCGUGAAUUCGUACGAUCCCAAUCCAAUAAUCCAAUCCAAUCCGGAUAAAUUUUAAUCUUGGAUUAGAUCUACAGUCAAAACAGUAAUGUUUAAUAAUGAGAUAGAGAAACAGAUAUUACAAGCCUGAGUCGACACUCUAUAAACAUGGGGGCUGAGCAGAGCAACUCGAGUGCAGCUCCGUUGAAGUCACAAAGAGACGAAGACAUCCCAUACACUUCAUACUCUAUAAGUAAACCUAUUAACAAUGGAAAACAACAAAAAGCACAAGAUAGCCCAAAAGCGUCACCUAGACUAAAAGAUAAAGCUAAAUCUAGUCACCAUAGAGACAAGGAAACAAACAAAGAUUCUCAUUUGAAGAAUAACACACUUGUGGUUGUCGCUAAGGGCAACCAAGGGAACACACAAAUUGACCCGGAACUCUUAAAGCUUGAUGCUAUCCCUGUGUUUUUGCCUCUCAUGCGGGGGUCACUGAAUAUUCCAAAUAUGAGAGACCCUGAAGUGCUUGAUAAGCUUGAUUAUAGACAGGUGCUUGAAAUGUGUCUGAGGUAUCAGGAACACUUGCGUCAGAGCUCUGAGGCUGUUGCCUUUGAUCAGAAUGCCCUCUGUGUCCGAAUAAAAGAGAUAGACUACAUUACACACAGUUUAAUGACAUCCAUAGUUGAAAGACAGAAAAAGUUUGCUAAAUAUGCUGAACAAAUCCAGAAAAUUGGAGAAAUAAAUAUUGUACUUAACAAAGUCAAAAUGAACGUUGAACAGACAACUGCCCUAAUGGAGCGUUUGAACAAUGUUCUUCCACCUGAAGACAAACUUGAACCUUUCUCCAUGAAGCCUGCUUAAAAUAGGCCUUUCUUCACAAAGCCUGCUUAAAAUGGGCCUUUCUCCAGGAAUCCAUCUUAAAAUGGGCCUCGCUCCAUGAAGCUUGUUUAAAAUGGGCCUUUCUCCAUGAAGCCUGCUUAAAAUGGGC